UACAAUAUUAUUAUCCUUCUUAUAACUAAUAUGGGUUAGGAAUUUACGUUUCGAUAACAAAAUGUAAAAUUAAUAAUUUUGUGAUAAUAUAGUAAUCAACAAAACCAAAAUCGUUUGGUACAGGUAUGCAAAGUACCUUAAGUUUACAUAGUGGAUAGCCAAAAUCGAUAAAUUGUAAUAUGCGUACUUAAAUGUCAUGAAAAGAUACCUUAAUAUACACUUAAUACCACUACAUAGGAAUUGUACACAUUUCCUCAUUAUCUAUUUAUACGAUCCGGCGAUUUUCACGGAAGAUUUUGAACGAACUUGAUUUAUAUUUUAUAAUUUUCAUCGUGAUAAAUAUGAUCGCGCAUUCUGUAUGAUGUUUCAUAUUAGAAAAUAUUAUGUAUAAUAUUAAUUGUGCUUGAUCUUAGGC